rnacentral:rRNA from 1 species
UAAGAGGUCCAGCCUGCCCAGUGACUUUUGUUCAACGGCCGCGGUAUCCUAACCGUGCGAAGGUAGCGUAAUCACUUGUUCUUUAAAUAAGGACUAGUAUGAAUGGCAUCACGAAGGUUUUACUGUCUCCUUUUUCUAAUCAAUGAAACUAAUCUCCCCGUGAAGAAGCGGGGAUAAAUCUAUAAGACGAGAAGACCCUAUGGAGCUUUAAAUUAUUUAUCAAUUGCUUAAUCCAUUGUAUUUUCAGAAUUAUACCACUUAUUCUAGCUUUAUGAUAGUAAAUUUUAGGUUGGGGUGACCGCGGAGUAAAAAAUAACCUCCACAAUGAAAGGAUAUUUUCCUGAACAAAAAGCUACAACUUUAUGUACCAAAAAAUUGACAUAAAUUGACCCA